rnacentral:lncRNA from 1 species
GUUUUUGAAAGCCUUUCAUGAUCAUAGAGGUCUUCUGGCUAUUGCUGCUUUGGUUAUAUGGUGCAAACCAACUUUUGCUGUGAUGAGAAGCCAUCUCGGGAGGUUCUCUGCAGCCUGGCUGACCAGCAGCUUGGCUGAACAUCCUAAAAGCAGAAAGAGGAAUGAGCAGCUGCUAAGUGCAAACCUCAGAGAGAAAUCACUGUCACUCACUAAAUAAAGCCGGCUUUCUUUGCGGCUGACAUAAUGGAUGUUUUUCUCAAACAUCAACAGAUUUUUGCUUUCGGUGGGUUGAAAACAUAUAUUCUUCAAACAGGGAUAUGUUGUUUGUAUUUAACUGGGCAGCUCUAGCAGCUGUGAAGGCAACCACCGGUGCCGCCGCCUUCUUUCUGCAAAAAUAAAAAUGCCAGCCGAGGAGCGGCUUGAAAUUGCAGUAGGAAGCAGUGCCGCCUUCCUCAGGGGCAGCCCCGGGAGGGAAGCGGGGAGCUGCGGUGGGCCAGGCUCCCACCUCCCACCCGCCGGGGGCUUACCGGGCGGUUUGGCGAACCUUUUCGCCGGGGGACGGGGAGGCUAAGAGAGGGGACCAGGAGGCAGCGACGGGGAGAACGUGCUAUGUAUAGGCGCCGAGCUACAGGUGCCGUCAACUAGCACGGUUUCCUCCGAGCCCGGCAGCUCCGCCCGUGCACCCCCCUCCCUCCAUCCCCGCCCCAGGGGCUGCCGCGGGCGGAGUGGCGGGGGGAGGACCGGAGGAGGCAGGGGAGCCUCGGGGCCGGCCGCUGCCAGCCUCUGCCAGUGCCUCCAACAGUACCUCUAACCCUGGUCCGGAGGAUGCUGCUUGCCCUUCUCCAUCGCCCCCGUGUGAGGGAGCAGCGGGUUGCUCUCCCGAGAGGCUGGAGGGCUCAGCGACCGGCAGCGGACACGAUAAGCAGAGCGCGUUUUAAGAAUAACUUGGUGGUACCAACGAAGGGGUGGAAAUGCUUGUGUUUGCGGUGGCAGUCCUUCUCCUGUCUCUCCCUCCUUCUCCUCAAUAUGCCCCAUGAGCUGACACAGAGCUGUCUGUGCUGUGAGGAAGACCACAGAAUGCCUUGAAAUGGAAAGCAGCAGAAAGGACCUCCAGUUCAGGGAGCUGUCUCAAACACCACUUGAGCAUACAGUAGUUUUUAUAGAAGAGGUAUCUAUAGCCACAUGCUCGUAAUAAAGCAGCAAAGACAAGACA